UACGUAGGGUGCAAGCGUUGUCCGGAAUUAUUGGGCGUAAAGCGCACGUAGGCGGCAUUGCAAGUCGGAUGUGAAAUCCCUCGGCUUAACCAAGGAAGUGCAUCCGAAACUGCAGUGCUUGAGUACUUAAGAGGAUCGCGGAAUUCCCGGUGUAGAGGUGAAAUUCGUAGAUAUCGGGAGGAACACCAGUGGCGAAGGCGGCGAUCUGGGAAGAUACUGACGCUGAGGUGCGAAAGCGUGGGGAGCAAACAGG
rnacentral:rRNA from 1 species